UGGCCUCUCUCAAUCAGUCAUGCUAGUAAAUAUAUAUAGGAACAAAUUAGGUUAAUGAUAAUGGGCCUAAGUUUAUUUUGAAACCCAAUAUUAAAUUAAAAACUGAAUAAAGUUAAAUAAUUAAAAUAGUUAAAAUUAAAGUAAAAACUAAUUAACCUAUUUAUUUAUUCUAGACCUAAUAUAAAAAUAAAUAGACUCAAAAAAAAAUUAAAAAAAAUUAAAAUAAAAAAAUUAAAAUAAAAGUCGGGCACCAAAAUGCUCGAAAAAAUAAAAUGAACAUGUCAAAAUAAUCAGCGCGAAAUAAAUGACUCGGAAAAAUACAGCGUUUGGUCGGAUUUUGAAAUAAAAAU
rnacentral:lncRNA from 1 species